rnacentral:rRNA from 1 species
UACGGAGGGGGCUAGCGUUGUUCGGAAUUACUGGGCGUAAAGCGCGUGUAGGCGGCUAUGCAAGUCGGGCGUGAAAUCCCACGGCUCAACCGUGGAAGUGCACCCGAAACUGCGUAGCUAGAGUCCUGGAGAGGAAGGUGGAAUGCUUGGUGUAGAGGUGAAAUUCGUAGAUAUCAAGCGGAACACCGGUGGCGAAGGCGGCCUUCUGGACAGUGACUGACGCUGAGACGCGAAAGCGUGGGGAGCAAACAGG